rnacentral:rRNA from 1 species
AUUGAACGCUGGCGGCAGGCCUUACACAUGCAAGUCGAACGGCAGCGCAGAAGGAGCUGGCUCUUACGGGUGGCGAGUGGCACACGGGUGUGGUAUACAGCUACGUCUACUGUUUCGUGGGGUAACCACUAGGAAGACUUGCGCUUAUAGCGUAAAUUACCUACGGGAAAACUGAGGGGAUCUUCGUACCUUUAGCGCUUUUUUAGCGCGAGAUGUCGGAUUAGCUAGUUGGGGGGGUAAAGGCCCACCAAGGCGAAGCUCUGUAGCGGGUCUGAGAGGAUGAUCCGCCACACUGGAACUGAGACACGGUCCAGACUCCUACGGGAGGCAGCAGUGGGGAAUUUUGGACAAUGGGCGCAAGCCUGAUCCAGCCAUGCCGCGUGUAUGAAGAAGGCCUUAGGGUUGUAAAGUCCUUUUGUUAGGGAAGAAAAGCAAGAGGUUAAUACCCGCCUGUACUGACGGUACCCAAAGAAUAAGCACCGGCUAACUUCGUG